CAUGCAAGUAGAACGCUGAGGGAGGAGCUUGCUUCUCUGGAUGAGUUGCGAGCGGGUGAGUAACGCGUAGGUAACCUGCCUGGUAGCGGGGGAUAACUAUUGGAAACGAUAGCUAAUACCGCAUAAUAGCAGUUGUUGCAUGACAACUGUUUGAAAGGUGCAAUUGCACCACUACCAGAUGGACCUGCGUUGUAUUAGCUAGUUGGUGGGGUAACGGCUCACCAAGGCGACGAUACAUAGCCGACCUGAGAGGGUGAUCGGCCACACUGGGACUGAGACACGGCCCAGACUCCUACGGGAGGCAGCAGUAGGGAAUCUUCGGCAAUGGACGGAAGUCUGACCGAGCAACGCCGCGUGAGUGAAGAAGGUUUUCGGAUCGUAAAGCUCUGUUGUAAGAGAAGAACGAGUGUGAGAGUGGAAAGUUCACACUGUGACGGUAUCUUACCAGAAAGGGACGGCUAACUACGUGCCAGCAGCCGCGG
rnacentral:rRNA from 1 species